UACGGGGGGAGCAAGCGUUGUUCGGAUUUACUGGGCGUAAAGGGCGCGUAGGCGGUCAGCACAAGUCAGUUGUGAAAUCUCCGGGCUUAACUCGGAAAGGUCAACUGAUACUGUGCGACUAGAGUGCAGAAGGGGCAACUGGAAUUCUUGGUGUAGCGGUGAAAUGCGUAGAUAUCAAGAGGAACACCUGCGGCGAAGGCGGGUUGCUGGGCUGACACUGACGCUGAUGCGCGAAAGCCAGGGGAGCGAACGGG
rnacentral:rRNA from 1 species